rnacentral:lncRNA from 1 species
CAAACACUGAAACAGGAGAGACAGCUGGUCAUACUGAUACCAAAAGCAGUAUGGAGAUGACAACAAGUGGGAAGCCAGUCCCAUCUUCGAGACGUAAUUCAACGGAGCACCAAACAGG